AUUGAACGCUGGCGGCGGGCCUAACACAUGCAAGUCGAGCGGCAGCGGAAAGUAGCUUGCCACUUUGCCGGCGAGCGGCGGACGGGUGAGUAAUGUCUGGGAAACUGCCUGAUGGCGGGGGAUAACUACUGGAAACGGUGGCUAAUACCGCAUAACGUCGCAAGACCAAAGUGGGGGACCUUCGGGCCUCACGCCAUCGGAUGUGCCCAGAUGGGAUUAGCUAGUAGGUGGGGUAAUGGUUCACCUAGGCGACGAUCCCUAGCUGGUCUGAGAGGAUGACCAGCCACACUGGAACUGAGACACGGUCCAGACUCCUACGGGAGGCAGCAGUGGGGAAUAUUGCACAAUGGGCGCAAGCCUGAUGCAGCCAUGCCGCGUGUGUGAAGAAGGCCUUCGGGUUGUAAAGCACUUUCAGCGAGGAGGAAGGCAUCAUACUUAAUACGUGUGGUGAUUGACGUUACUCGCAGAAGAAGCACCGGCUAACUCCGUGCCAGCAGCCGCGGUAAAAC
rnacentral:rRNA from 1 species